CUGAGUAUUAAUGAUAUGUAUAUAUUAUUUGCUACGAAUACAGUCAAAAAUUGCUUGUAUCUUGCUUCUAAAGUCAAGAAUGAAAAAUCGAACACCGUCAAUCGAUGCGGAAUAUUGCUUAGAAUGAUUGUGUCAAAUUUCAUUCCGAUCAGACAAGUAAUGAAGGAGCCUUAGGGUUUUUUCAAAGAGCGUCGCCUCCUAACAACAACAACAACAACAACAACAACAACAACAACAACAACAACAACAACAACAACAACAACAGCAACAGCAACAGCAACAGCAACAGCAGCAGCAGCAGCAGCAACAACAACAAGAUUAGCAGCGAGUGGGGACCAGUUCCUGGUCCAACAAUUCCCCCAACCUCCCCCUAAUGAUCCCAAAAUCCCGGCGGGGGGAUUCAAGUCUGCGAAUCGGUAAUUUCCAAACCUAGAGUGUGUACAUAAUAACUAAUGUUAUGUUGAUGAAUUUUGU